AAGAGCCGUAUGAAUUGAGAGAUUCACGUACGGUCCCGUGAGGGGCUGGGGAUGAAAUUCCCUCGGCCUACUCGAC
rnacentral:ncRNA from 1 species